rnacentral:rRNA from 1 species
ACGAACGCUGGCGGCGUGCUUAACACAUGCAAGUCGAGUGGUAAGGCCCUUUCGGGGGUACACGAGCGGCGAACGGGUGAGUAACACGUGGGUGACCUGCCCUCAGCUCUGGGAUAAGCCUGGGAAACUGGGUCUAAUACUGGAUAUGACUCCACGGUGCAUGUCGUGGGGUGGAAAGCCUUGUGCGGCUGAGGAUGGGCCCGCGGCCUAUCAGCUUGUUGGUGGGGUNAUGGCCUACCAAGGCGACGACGGGUAGCCGGCCUGAGAGGGCGACCGGCCACACUGGGACUGAGACACGGCCCAGACUCCUACGGGAGGCAGCAGUGGGGAAUCUUGCGCAAUGGGCGAAAGCCUGACGCAGCGACGCCGCGUGAGGGAUGACGGCCU